CCAUACGUUCUGCAGCAACCUCAAUUCUUGCCUUCUCAUAAGAAAGAAUUGGACUGAGGGGCAUAAGACAGAAGGAGAGACCAACGCAGAAGUGAAAGUUUAUUAAAAACCUUUAAGACAGGAAUGACAGGAAGUACAGUAUGCAUGGAAGAGGGCCAAGCAGCUACCUGAAAGAUCAAUGCGCAUGCCUGAGCCCACUCACCACCCACCUCCUGAGAUCUUAUCCUGAAGCUGCCGAUCACCAGUAUCACGUGUUUCUAUCUAUUAAGAGACAGCCUUUCCCUGGCACCAGCUGUGACCAAUUAUUAUUUUAGUGACACAGUUAACGACUGCCUGCCCAUCACCUUAUGGACAUCUGACAAUUCCUGGUGUGUUUGUGUUGGAAAGCCCUCUCCUGCCCGGUUCAUGCCUGAUGAGCUACCUACAAUAACAUCUACAGCUAAAGCUGGAACAAUUUGAGCAACAACAUAAAGAAAUUAGUAUUAUAGCUCAGAGUAUAAAAUAUAUAUCAAGCACCUACAAAUAGUAUAUUGCUAAAUAAAUGAGAAAAAUUGAUAUCCUA